rnacentral:rRNA from 1 species
UACGGGGGGGGCAAGCGUUGUUCGGAAUUACUGGGCGUAAAGGGCUCGUAGGCGGCCAACUAAGUCAGACGUGAAAUCCCUCGGCUUAACCGGGGAACUGCGUCUGAUACUGGAUGGCUUGAGUUUGGGAGAGGGAUGCGGAAUUCCAGGUGUAGCGGUGAAAUGCGUAGAUAUCUGGAGGAACACCGGUGGCGAAGGCGGCAUCCUGGACCGACACUGACGCUGAGGCGCGAAAGCUAGGGUAGCAAACGGG